AUUGAAUACGACCAAAUAAAAAUCAGUUGAAUUAUCGUAAAUCGUAAAUACGUGAACAUUGAAUGAAAAAUGUUCAUUCGUUGUUGUGAUGUUGAGUGAAAAAAUACAGGCAGAAACAGUUUCAGAAUCGUAGGACUCUGCGGAGGGAGGAAUUAUAUAAAAUCACAAUCACAAUACCUGAUACAAAAGCUCAUGUUCAACGUCGAUUGGUGGAAUAUCUAACAAUACAUUAAACUUGGUGAAAAUUUUUAAAAAAUAUGAAAACCAUCGACCAACAAAUGUCAAAAUAGAUCAUUUCUUUUUACAGUAUAGAAAUGGAAAAUGGAAAACUCAAGCUGUAGGUAUCAAUACCUUUUCAAAAAUUCUCUCGCUUAUCGCAACAUAUUUGAAUUUGCCUAAUCCAAAAAACUACACUGAGCAUACAUUUCGACGCUUUUCGGUGUCUUUAUUAGUGGAUUCCGGUGGUGAUAUAAUUCAACGGAAGAAGCACGGUGGGUGGAAAUCCAACACAGUUGAGGAGGUUUACGUACACGACUCAAUAAAAAACAAAAUGGAUUCCGCAAUGAAAAUUUUAACAGGAACAACUAGUUCGACUACAAGCAACAUUGUAAAUGUUCACGAUCCUACCAACAAUCCAAUAAGUACUGAUACAACUAUAGACGAUCUUACUUGUUUGAACUCGUUAAAUGUUGCCAAUUGAAGUACCAAUAGUAAUGUAACUUCUUCACUUCAAAUUAAUAAUG